UUUAUUGGAGAGUUUGAUCCUGGCUCAGGACGAACGCUGGCGGCGUGCCUAAUACAUGCAAGUCGAGCGGAGUUAAUCGGGAGCUUGCUCCUGAUUGGCUUAGCGGCGGACGGGUGAGUAACACGUAGGCAACCUGCCCGUAAGACUGGGAUAACUACCGGAAACGGUAGCUAAUACCGGAUACGCAAGUUUCUCGCAUGGGAGACUUGGGAAAGGCGGAGCAAU
rnacentral:rRNA from 1 species